rnacentral:snRNA from 1 species
GGAUGUGAGGGCGAUCUGGCUGCGACACCUGUCACCCCAUUGAUCGCCAGGGUUGAUUCGGCUGAUCUGGCUGGCUAGGCAGGUGUCCCCUUCCUCCCUCACCGCUCCAUGUGCUUCCCUCCCGAAGCUGCGCACUGGUCGAAGAGGACGGCUUUCCCCGAAUAGAGACGUCUUGGGUCGAGGGUAUACAAGUAGCUGAGCUCCACUGCUAGAACCUCCAAACAAGCUCUCAAGAUGUGUGUGUGUAUGUGUGUGUGUGUGUGUGUGUGUGUGUGUGUGUGGUUUCUUCUGUUGUUUCCAUGGGCUUGCCAUUCCUGACUGAC